GAGCACUCUUAUCUUUGGCUUGAGAGGGUGAGGGAGUGGAAGGUGUGUGGAGGAGAGCACUCUUAUCUGGGGGUGUGGAGAGGGGGGAGUGGAAGGUGUGUGGAGGAGUGCACUCCCCUAUCUUUGACUUGAGAUGUGACAAUUUCCCUGGAAAACAUUAAUAAUCAAGUAAAAUGAAUUGUGAUUUGUGUUUAAUGAAGUAGACUUCAGAAAUUUCCCAAACAUGGUUAAAAGUCUUACAUGGUACGGUGAUAUUCACAAAGUAGUCACCAAAAUGUCAUCCAAACUGGAUUACUUCCUCGAAAAUCAUCCUAGAUUUAUUCCUGUUGAAAA